rnacentral:tRNA from 1 species
CGUCUCAAUUUACUGAUGAGGAUCAUAAUCUUCCUAGUAUGAACGUCAGUACGAGUGACUUCCAAUCACUUA